rnacentral:ncRNA from 1 species
CGUCUUCAGGGCAGGGUGAAAUUCCCGACCGGCGGUAAAGUCCGCGAGCCGAAAGGCCGAAUCGGUGAAACUCCGAUACCGACAGUAUAGUCUGGAUGAGAGAAGAU